AAUUACGGCUCCAGCGAGACCUCGUUCCUUCCUCUCUGCUUCCCCCGAAGCUUCUUCCUCCUCCGAUCGGUAGAUUAAGUCCACUGUAGAAGGAGGGAUGUAAGCAAUCUCGAUCUCAGAGACCAAACAAUUUUGGUAUCUUUUCGUGGAUUUCUCGCUUGAUUGCUCUAAUAGAUUCCUUUGGAUAUCUCCAGGAGCUCGGAGGAAAUCGGAAGGGCGGCAAUCAAGCGCGCCAUCAAAGCUCUUCGGAAGCGGCACUUGGUCGAGGAGGGCGCACACGCGCCAGCCAUCGCCGCCCUCUCCAGACCUCUAGCCGUCCAGGUACUCUAUUUGGAUCUAAAGAUUUGAUUUUGGGAACACAGGCAUCUUAAAAAUUAGAUAUUUAUUGCAUACAGCUCUCGUGAUGUAAUUUGUGGCAUGCUUCAAUUUAUGCUUUAUAUUGUGUCGCUGUAUUGGGAGCAUUUUUUUUUAUUGGCGUUGUAUGUGUAUGUCUUUGAAUUUCUGGAUCUUUCUCGAUUUUUUUAUUCGUAUUUCUUCUCUUCUUCUUUUUUCUUUUUUUUUCACAACAAAAUCCUGGGAAAUUUCUUUUUAAAACUUAAUGGGGAACUAUGAACCAUUGCCUGUCAGAUGCUUGUUUCUAUUAUAAUGAGCAUUUCUAAGCUAAUCACUUAUUAUUCUGGUAUUGAUUUAUUUCCAAAGAACUGCAGAAUAUUUUCCUGAGUAGGGUGGCAUAUGAAGAUUCACAAAUUCAUCAUAAGAUAGGUAAAGAAUAAAUGAUCUGCGAUCUUAUUUUGGAAUCUAGUUUAAUACACUAUUGAUGGCU
rnacentral:lncRNA from 1 species